GUUAAAAUAGCAAGAUAAUUCCAGAUGCUAUAUGAAAAUCAGGCAGUCGUAAUCUGCCCAUGGUGCUGGGCAGCAGAAGGAAAACAGGCAGUCUUCCAUAUUGGAGAGCCAGCUUUUGAUCAUGCACCUAAAAAUACUGUGCACGUGCCUCCUCCCCUUCCAUCUGGCCAGUGUGAGUCCCUUUCCUUUUCAGCUGCUCUUACUCUCCUGUGACGUGAUCUUUAAACCCCUCCUCUCCGAAGCCUCACAGAGCUGCUGCUUGCAGAGCGUGGGAGGCGCUGGUGGGGACUGCAGCGCGGUGCGCACCCCAGCCGAGCUUGUGUGUGCUUCUGGCAGAGCUUUUAGACUGAAGAUUUUCCCUUCGUAAUGCCAGAAGCGUUCCUAGAACUUCCCCAGCUAAAACAGGGAGACGCUAACGUCUCUACCUCUAAGGAUAGGCCCGCCAAAUAGAGUUAGCGUGAAGACCCCAGCUUGACCAGAGAUGGUGACACCUGGGGAUUUAUGGUCAGCGACCUCAGUGAAGCAGCAUCCUCCUUGCCACUGGCUGGUCUGUUCAUUUUAACAUGAACAUGUUUUAAUGCAGACUGUUCAAGCUGUUUCAAAACAGUCAUUAAAAAUACACAUGUAGGAGCACCUGUAUUAAAGACUUUGUUUGGAAUCCAGAGUGGAAGCUCUGACUCCUACUGCGCCCUUCUUUAGGGGUCUCUCCCUCGGGGUCCACUUGGCUCGAGGCGGCAGCGAGCCCAGCAGCUGAGUGGCCGGCGGCACACGACCCAGAGGGAAGGAGAGGCCUGCACCCCGCUGCCUCCUGGACCCAGCUUUGCUGCUGUCACUGUUUCUUCAGGAGAGGCUGUAGGCAAACCCUUGUUUUCCAGCAUGAAAACAACCCUGGUCCCAGCAGGGCAGGCUCUUUUCUGCGUCUCGCUGUUUCAGGAGCCUGCUAUUCCUGGGAUUCUUAAAGUUUUCCUGCCCUACUAAGCACCAGUUUCUGCUAACAGUGACAAAAAUUGUGUGUGUAAGACCCAGAGCCGAGGCUCAGAGUGAAAACAGACAAGUAGUAUAUAAUCUAAGUGACUUUUUAAAAUGGAGGAGCCAUUCUGGAAGCGUGAGAAGUAGACAGUGUUUUGAGGAUUGUCUGGGUGGAAGGGCAGGGCCGGGCGGUGUGGCCGCCCUCGACCUGUAGCUGGUGGUCCUGGAGUGUGGUGAGUGUGCUCGCCUCCACGGGUCCUGCUGGGGCUCUAGCCCGGCCCGUUUCCGCUUCUGCCACUGGGGCUUGCUCAGCUGGAUUCCUUAACGCACGCACACCUGAACCUGCAGACCAAGCCCGUGGACCCGACCGUGGAGGGGGGCGCGCAGGUGCAGCAGGUGGUCAACAUAGAGUGCGUGUCCGACUUCACGGAGGCGCCAGUCCUCAACAUUCAGUUCAGGUAAGAGCCGCCUGUGCGCCCCGGGCCGAGGGGUGUGUGGGCACCUGAGCUGUGUGCCUGGGCUCCAUGACUGUGCCUCCGUGUCCUUCCUGAGGGGACCCGGGGUGUGCGGGUGCUCACGGUGCACGGAUGCAGCCUGACCUGUUGCUGCCCCCGGCUCUGCAGAGCGCAGGAAACAAGGGGAGGCGGAGCCCCGGGCUCCGGGACGGCAGGUAGCAGCUCCCACAUGGGGCCUUGCUAGGAGUUUUCUGGGCACUCUGGGGCCCACCUCCUGGGGUGGCAGACAGCCAGGGCCCCCGCGCCACCUGCCCGGCUUGGUACCAGACGACAGCUGCGGGGUGAAGCCGCUGGUUUCCUUCGGCCCCCUGGCCUGGGGGGUGCGUGUUUUGCUCAGUCGAGCUCAGAUCAUACCACUUUGCUUAUUUUUUAAAAGCAUAGGAUUUUCCUGUUGCGACUCUUCAUUACUCUCAUUUUUCAGUGACUACAAAUAGCGUGGAUACAGUCAGCCCGUCCCCUGCUGGGUGUCUGCAAGGUUAGGAAUGUUGAGAAAAGCACACUUUCUAACAUUAAAAAGACAGAGAACUUAAGAUUGUAUACUGUAGAAUUCGGGGACAUAGACAUGCAAAUUUUUGUUUCAUUCUUUGUGCAAAUGCCUUUGCCUUUUUAAAGAAAAAACAUCACACUAUUUGCACAGACUUGGAGUUCUGGGAAACAGAUGAAUGGGGAGAAGUGAGGCACAGGGACGUCCUGCCUGAGUAUGCGGCCCUGGCCUGUCCUCCUGUCUGUGGGUGACACUGGACACUGAGCCACACACGAUCCGUGGGGACUCAAGGCUCGGCCCCCCAACCCGCUCUGGUGGGUGGCAGUAGAUGGGGACGCUUCUCACUCCAGGCUCUUUCCCGGUCCCUGGGGCUCUCAGAGGAGUAGCUGACUGUCUCUUUCUGCUGCUGCUGCUGCUGGCAGGUAUGGGGGCACCUUCCAGAACGUGUCUGUGCAGCUGCCCAUCACUCUCAACAAAUUCUUCCAGCCGACAGAAAUGGCGUCUCAGGAUUUCUUUCAACGUUGGAAGCAGUUGAGCAAUCCACAGCAGGAAGUGCAGAACAUCUUCAAAGCAAAGCACCCAAUGGACACAGAAGUCACCAAAGCCAAGAUCAUUGGAUUUGGUUCUGCACUUCUUGAAGAAGUUGAUCCUAAUCCUGCGAAUUUCGUGGGAGCUGGAAUCAUCCACACGAAAACCACCCAGAUCGGAUGCUUGCUGCGCCUGGAGCCGAACCUGCAAGCCCAGGUCAGGCCCUCAGGAAAUGGCUGAACACACUUGAGUUGCUUUUUAUUCUGGCACAAUGUACGUGGUGAGAUGCGUAGCUCUCUAGUGCAGUUCAGUCAGUUGUGACAGAUGUUGUUUAACCACUGCCCUGUCAAUACAUGGUUGCAUCCCAGCCUCCCCGCAGCUGGCCACCGUGGAGCAUCAUCCCUAGUGCAGUUCAGUCAGUUGUGACAGAUGUUGUGUGCCUGUUUAACCACCACCCUGUCAAUACAUGGUUGCAUCCCAGCCUCCCCACAGCUGGCCACAGUGGAGCAUCGUCCCACCAUGGAGCAGCCUGGCCCUGGGCGGUGGCUCUCCCAGCUGUUCCUCUCUGUCACCACGUUGUUCCUUCUCACCACGUCCCGUUCUGUUGACGGACACCUGUCUCCGUUUCACUCGGGUGGCACCCAGGAGUGCUGCUGCCGCCCAGGGCCUGUGUGUGGUUAGUGCUGCAAGAACGUCCCACAGCUUCUCCAGGUGGCCGUGCCACUUCGCACUCCCGCCAGCUACGUACGAGGCGCCAGGCGCUCCCAUGCCAGCCCUCAGUUUUCAUGCUGACAGUGUGUGUGGUGCUCAGGCCUCUGCCGAGCUGUGGGUGCCUCCAGAGACUGGUCCCUGGGCGUGGCCCACAGGGUUCUGCAUGGCGGAUCCUGGACCCGAGGGCUGUGUGAGCCUCGGCGUGCCCGCCAACCUGCUGUGCUCUCUGUUUCAGAUGUACCGGCUCACGCUGCGCACGAGUAAGGAAGCCGUUUCUCAGAGAUUAUGUGAAUUGCUCUCAGCGCAGUUUUAGUCCUGAGGAUGGAAGACCAGGCUCGUGUGUCUUGCGUUGUCUUCGUCUGUGCCGUUUGUCUUCGUGGCCAUCCUGCAGAUGAGCACCCUGUGUCCAGUGCCACAGCACAAGGCGCCUCCCCGCCCCGCCGCCCCAGACCUCUCCCCUUUGGGCUGGACGGGAACACACGUGUGUGGCUCAGGAGGAAAAGCUCAGCCUGGACUGUGGCAGCCACGGCAGAAGGUGGAUCUUGGGAUCAAUUUUUAUAAAAAUCGAGACAGUUCUGUGGUUAAAUCUACAAAUUAAAGGGAAAUUAGAAGUUGG
rnacentral:sRNA from 1 species